CAUUCAGUAGCCCAGCUACUUGUUUACACCCUUGUCUUUUGCGUACUUAUCGUUUCCUCGGCGGGCUUGCCUGCCGGUUGGACAACUUUAUAACCUUUUUAAAUCUUCAAUCAGCGUCUGAAUAAUAUACAAUAAUUA
rnacentral:misc_RNA from 1 species